GCAGUUGUGGCCGAGUGGUUAAGGCGAUGGUCUAGAAAUCCAUUGGGGUCUCCCCGCACAGGUUCGAAUCCUGUCGACUGCG
rnacentral:tRNA from 1 species